UUUACCGUUCCUGGCAAAGUCAUAGAACGAAGCGUAUAAAACUGGAUUACAUCUUGGAGGUUCCUGUUGAGAUCCAAACAAAAAGUGGAAACUGCUAGAUUUUGACGAAACUUGGCUGACAAAACGGAAUUAAUGAGGGAGAUUUCAGACUGGAAUCUCGUUAUCGAAAAAUUAAAUAAAACCCAUCUUACUCGGCGUAAGGAUGUGAAAACUCUCGACGGAGCUGAGUUUUUGAAAGUAUGCCGGGCGCCGGAAUUGAUUUAAAUCUUUUACCAAAGCAGAGACUAU